rnacentral:rRNA from 1 species
CAAGUCGAACGCGUUGGCCCAAUUGAUUGAUGGUGCUUGCACCUGAUUGAUUUUGGUCGCCAACGAGUGGCGGACGGGUGAGUAACACGUAGGUAACCUGCCCAGAAGCGGGGGACAACAUUUGGAAACAGAUGCUAAUACCGCAUAACAACGUUGUUCGCAUGAACAACGCUUAAAAGAUGGCUUCUCGCUAUCACUUCUGGAUGGACCUGCGGUGCAUUAGCUUGUUGGUGGGGUAAUGGCCUACCAAGGCGAUGAUGCAUAGCCGAGUUGAGAGACUGAUCGGCCACAAUGGGACUGAGACACGGCCCAUACUCCUACGGGAGGCAGCAGUAGGGAAUCUUCCACAAUGGGCGCAAGCCUGAUGGAGCAACACCGCGUGAGUGAAGAAGGGUUUCGGCUCGUAAAGCUCUGUUGUUAAAGAAGAACACGUAUGAGAGUAACUGUUCAUACGUUGACGGUAUUUAACCAGAAAGUACGGCUAACUACGUGCCAGCAGCCGCGGUAAUACGUAGGUGGCAAGCGUUAUCCGGAUUUAUUGGGCGUAAAGAGAGUGCAGGCGGUUUUCUAAGUCUGAUGUGAAAGCCUUCGGCUUAACCGGAGAAGUGCAUCGGAAACUGGAUAACUUGAGUGCAGAAGAGGGUAGUGGAACUCCAUGUGUAGCGGUGGAAUGCGUAGAUAUAUGGAAGAACACCAGUGGCGAAGGCGGCUACCUGGUCUGCAACUGACGCUGAGACUCGAAAGCAUGGGUAGCGAACAGGAUUAGAUACCCUGGUAGUCCAUGCCGUAAACGAUGAGUGCUAGGUGUUGGAGGGUUUCCGCCCUUCAGUGCCGGAGCUAACGCAUUAAGCACUCCGCCUGGGGAGUACGACCGCAAGGUUGAAACUCAAAGGAAUUGACGGGGGCCCGCACAAGCGGUGGAGCAUGUGGUUUAAUUCGAAGCUACGCGAAGAACCUUACCAGGUCUUGACAUCUUGCGCCAACCCUAGAGAUAGGGCGUUUCCUUCGGGAACGCAAUGACAGGUGGUGCAUGGUCGUCGUCAGCUCGUGUCGUGAGAUGUUGGGUUAAGUCCCGCAACGAGCGCAACCCUUGUUACUAGUUGCCAGCAUUAAGUUGGGCACUCUAGUGAGACUGCCGGUGACAAA